ACGGAAGGCAGCAGUGGGGAAUAUUGCACAAUGGGCGAAAGCCUGAUGCAGCGGCGCCGCGUGAGCGAAGAAGUAUUUCGGUAUGUAAAGCUCUAUCAGCAGGGAAGAUAAUGACGGUACCUGACUAAGAAGCACCGGCUAAAUACGUGCCAGCAGCCGCGGUAAUACGCAUGGUGCAAGCGUUAUCCGGAUUUACUGGGUGUAAAGGGAGCGCAGGCGGUACGGCAAGUCUGAUGUGAAAGCCCGGGGCUCAACCCCGGUACUGCAUUGGAAACUGUCGAACUAGAGUGUCGGAGGGGUAAGUGGAAUUCCUAGUGUAGCGGUGAAAUGCGUAGAUAUUAGGAGGAACACCAGUGGCGAAGGCGGCUUACUGGACGACAACUGACGCUGAGGCUCGAAAGCGUGGGGAGCAAACAGGAUUAGAUACCCUGGUA
rnacentral:rRNA from 1 species